GCAUGAGCCUGAGCGGCUGGACGCAAGACUGCAGCAACUCCUCGGCGAUCGAACCUUUGCCUGACCUCGGCAGCCUGAGCCUCAAACAAGCUAUUGACUAAAAAAGCCAUUAAAGAAAAUAAAAGCAUAAGAAAGAAGUAGACCCCAGCCGCAGCUGGCGACAUGUCAGCCAGAGGUGCCUCAGCAGCAUGAAUCUCAGGAGCCUCCUGGUCAAAUCUGUGUGUAAGGGUCAGAUCAAACAACCUCAUUCUUUCAUUAAGUAAAUCUACUAGUAGAUCAAGGUCCUCCACAUUCAUUUGCCUUGGUUGAGGCACCCUGUCCUCUGCAACAUCCACAGUAUUGUCAAAAAUCAGAUUAAUAUUGACAUUCAUUGCAACCUCUGAAUAAGAUGCAACUGUUUUGUAUAAUGCUGUGUACCGUUAAACGCUUCUCUGAAACAAUAGCAGACUAACCCCAAAGUGUGGGUUUAGGUCUGUGACUGCUGACGUCAUAGUGGCGCCCUGCGCUUUGAACUUUUUCCUUUGAUCUUUUUUUUUUUUUUUUAUGUCCGCCAUUUCAUUGUACGUUACUUUUUUUCUUUAUAUACUUUAUUAAGGCAUAUGACAGUAGUUAUACAUAAGUAAAUAUAUCGGAAACAAGAGGAUUAUAACAUAAAGAACUUAAAACAAGAACAACAUCGAAGCAGACAAUGUGAACAUGAAACUUUUAGGCCAGGGGGUGACUUAAUGGGUUAAGUUAAGUAAAAACAAUUAUGGAAAUUAUUAAGCUAAAUCUAUUUGAUUGGCGCCGAUUGAUGCAUUCACUUUCGGUUUACCGCGGACGUAAGGCUUUUGGUUGCGGCAUGUGAAAACAUUCUCAGCUGAUGAGAAUCAGCUAGGGAACAUGAUAGAAGCAAUGCCGUAUCUUACCUUGCCAAUGUCCUUCGUUUGGGCAUGUCUCCUGAAGCAUCCUUUAGUCAGUGGGCAUGGCAGCUGUUGCUGAGGCUGAAGCUCCAUAGCAAUUCCCAGAACCUUAAAGGAGCAUGGUUGGUCCCUGCUUUGACAUCCAGCCCACCUCCAGAGCUUACACAAACACUCUGAACAUGCACUCUGUUCUCAGGGCUGUAAAAGCAGGCAUCCCUAUUGGAUGCUACUUGUCCAUUGCCAUGACACCAGUAGGACACAGUCUGGAACACUUUUGUACUGACGGUAUUGGGUUGUUGAAGAGUCUGAUUCAGUCUCACCAUCUGAGAGCUGCUGUGCAUCUGCUGGAUAACAUCCUACCCCCAACCUACCAUCUCAGCUUCUGCCUACUCAACAACUCACAGUUUGUCAGUUGUAUCCAGAUGUUCUUGCAGUAUGACAGUGUGUCCCCUUGAGGUGUGACACUGCAGGCCACUCAUCGGGCAGCACCACUCCUUACAGGAGCCACCUAUGGAGAAAAUGUCCGACAGCUAAACGGUGUCAUUCAGAGUCAUGUGGUGGAAAGCUCACAGCCCAGUCGUGCCCUGGAGGUUUGGGUGGGAAUUCUGACAGCAGAACCUGUGGUACUGAGACAAAACAGUCCUAUUCUCAUCGAUCAGAUCUGUGCUGCAUUCACACACCACCAGGAGGAGUGUGUGCAGAAACCGCUUUACCAACAGCAUAAGGUGUUUACCCAGUUCUGUUUGUUUGCAUAAUGUAGGGACUCAGCGAUGGGUCUCAAAGGUGUUAACACUGUAAAUUGCCUUAGUUAUACUAUAAAGAUUCAUAGGACAUUAACAAUAGGUCACACAUUACAGGAAGUGCCAGCGCUUGUUGUUGAGGGAUGCUAAAAAGUGACCUUAAAGCCAUUACACUCUUCUUCAUACAAAUGUUCGGGCUGUGUCUCGUUUAUGUAUCUGCUCUAUCAUUAAUUAUUGUAUUUUUAAAGAACAAAUAGUUAAAUGUCUGCAUUUAGUCAUGAGUGAAAGGUUUUCAUCAAGAAAACCAGAGGAUGCCAGUACCACCUGUAAAGAAGGAUUAAGAACCAUGAUGCCUAUACUAUUUGUCAUUUUCUUCUCUCAGGCUACAAUGGAUUAUGCAUAACAAAAUGUCUCUUAAAAUAUAAAAGUUUCCUUUCUUCCUAAAUGAUAACUUCCUAGUGUUUCGCACCCUGGCUUUGUUGCUGGGUUGGGGGUAGGAUUAAUAGUAAAUAGACACGAAUCUGAUUUAGAUGUUUUAUUUACAAAAAAUGCACAUUUGCUGUGAAACCAUCUGUACAUUCAACAGCUUAAAUAUCGAUUUGAAUAGACAGACUUUUCUACAGCUUCUGGAAAACAUACCAAACUUCUAUUCCACUAAAUACAAUAUCAGAAUCAAGACUUUUCUCUGGUUUAUAAUUUCUUUGU